ACGAACGCUGGCGGCGUGCCUAAUACAUGCAAGUCGAACGCGAGCGACCGGUGCUUGCACUGGUCAAUCUAGUGGCGAACGGGUGAGUAACACGUGGGUAACCUGCCCAUCAGAGGGGGAUAACAUCCGGAAACGGAUGCUAAAACCGCAUAGGUCUUCGAACCGCAUGGUUUGAAGAGGAAAAGAGGCGCAAGCUUCUGCUGAUGGAUGGACCCGCGGUGCAUUAGCUAGUUGGUGAGGUAACGGCUCACCAAGGCCGUGAUGCAUAGCCGACCUGAGAGGGUGAUCGGCCACAUUGGGACUGAGACACGGCCCAAACUCCUACGGGAGGCAGCAGUAGGGAAUCUUCCGCAAUGGACGCAAGUCUGACGGAGCAACGCCGCGUGAGUGAAGAAGGUUUUCGGAUCGUAAAACUCUGUUGUUAGAGAAGAACAAGUGCUAGAGUAACUGUUAGCGCCUUGACGGUAUCUAACCAGAAAGCCACGGCUAACUACGUG
rnacentral:rRNA from 1 species